rnacentral:rRNA from 1 species
AAUUUUUGACAAUGGGCGCAAGCCUGAUCCAGCCAUGCCGCUUGUGUGAAGAAUGCCUUCCGGUUGUAUGGCUCUUUCGGUCGUAACGAAAUCUCGCCCGCUAAUACCCGUCUCGGAUGACGGUACCGUCAUUACAAGCACCGCCUAACUACGUGCCUGCAGCCGCGGUAAUACGUAGGGUGCGAGCGUUAAUCGGAAUUACUGGGCGUAAAGAGUGCGCAGGCGGGUGAUUAAGACAGGCGUGAAAACCCCGGGCUUAACCUGGGAACUGCGCUUGUGAAUGGUCAGCUAGAGUACGGCAGAGGGGGGUGGAAUUCCACGUGUAGCAGUGAAAUGCGUAGAGAUGUGGAGGAACACCGAUGGCGAAGGCAGCACCCUGGGCCGAUACUGACGCUCAUGCACGAAAGCGUGGGUAGCAAACAGG